rnacentral:tRNA from 1 species
UGAAAGAUAAGUUAUUCAAACUUUGAAUUUUGAGUUCAAAAAAAGUAAUUUAUUUUACUUCUUUCAA